GAUGAACGCUGGCGGCGUGCCUAAUACAUGCAAGUCGAGCGAACGGACGAGAAGCUUGCUUCUCUGAUGUUAGCGGCGGACGGGUGAGUAACACGUGGAUAACCUACCUAUAAGACUGGGAUAACUUCGGGAAACCGGAGCUAAUACCGGAUAAUAUUUUGAACCGCAUGGUUCAAAAGUGAAAGACGGUCUUGCUGUCACUUAUAGAUGGAUCCGCGCUGCAUUAGCUAGUUGGUAAGGUAACGGCUUACCAAGGCAACGAUGCAUAGCCGACCUGAGAGGGUGAUCGGCCACACUGGAACUGAGACACGGUCCAGACUCCUACGGGAGGCAGCAGUAGGGAAUCUUCCGCAAUGGGCGAAAGCCUGACGGAGCAACGCCGCGUGAGUGAUGAAGGUCUUCGGAUCGUAAAACUCUGUUAUUAGGGAAGAACAUAUGUGUAAGUAACUGUGCACAUCUUGACGGUACCUAAUCAGAAAGCCACGGCUAACUACGUGCCAGCAGCCGCGGUAAUACGUAGGUGGCAAGCGUUAUCCGGAAUUAUUGGGCGUAAAGCGCGCGUAGGCGGUUUUUUAAGUCUGAUGUGAAAGCCCACGGCUCAACCGUGGAGGGUCAUUGGAAACUGGAAAACUUGAGUGCAGAAGAGGAAAGUGGAAUUCCAUGUGUAGCGGUGAAAUGCGCAGAGAUAUGGAGGAACACCAGUGGCGAAGGCGACUUUCUGGUCUGUAACUGACGCUGAUGUGCGAAAGCGUGGGGAUCAAACAGGAUUAGAUACCCUGGUAGUCCACGCCGUAAACGAUGAGUGCUAAGUGUUAGGGGGUUUCCGCCCCUUAGUGCUGCAGCUAACGCAUUAAGCACUCCGCCUGGGGAGUACGACCGCAAGGUUGAAACUCAAAGGAAUUGGCGGGGACCCGCACAAGCGGUGGAGCAUGUGGUUUAAUUCGAAGCAACGCGAAGAACCUUACCAAAUCUUGACAUCCUUUGACAACUCUAGAGAUAGAGCCUUCCCCUUCGGGGGACAAAGUGACAGGUGGUGCAUGGUUGUCGUCAGCUCGUGUCGUGAGAUGUUGGGUUAAGUCCCGCAACGAGCGCAACCCUUAAGCUUAGUUGCCAUCAUUAGGUUGGGCACUCUAAGUUGACUGCCGGUGACAAACCGGAGGAAGGUGGGGAUGACGUCAAAUCAUCAUGCCCCUUAUGAUUUGGGCUACACACGUGCUACAAUGGACAAUACAAAGGGCAGCGAAACCGCGAGGUCAAGCAAAUCCCAUAAAGUUGUUCUCAGUUCGGAUUGUAGUCUGCAACUCGACUACAUGAAGCUGGAAUCGCUAGUAAUCGUAGAUCAGCAUGCUACGGUGAAUACGUUCCCGGGUCU
rnacentral:rRNA from 1 species